CCAUUAGACACUGUUCGGCGAUGAAUAACUUUCGAGUUUGAACUUUAGAUAACGACGUUACUGACGUAUGUGUUACUGUUUCUAUUAAGAAAAUAUAUGUUUGGUAUCUUCAUUUGAGACUCUUCCUAUAUCAAGGGGAUAACCUAGACUGGUGGAAAGGCACAAAAAUCGUCAGACGAACUAGCGAGCAGAAUGCCAGGACCUUCACACGCUAGUGCCGACGCCAGUGCCUCGGGGUCGUCUUCUAAAGGGAGUGGUACAGCCAGUGCCAGUGCCAGGGCGGACUAUUGCAAAGGGAAGUGCCACACCCAGACACAAACGGCGACCAGCACAAAGGGCAAAGCGACUGCAUCAGCUGGCGCUAAAGCAACCUGCAAUCCCAAGACUGGACGUGUUUCAGCAAAUGCGAAUGCCAAAGUUAAAACAGGACGCAAAUAAACAAUACAAGUGUUAAAUGUGUUAAUAAAUUAUGAUUAUUUUUUGUAUAACUUGAGUUUAUGUGACUUUUUGUGUUUCUUUUCCUUUUAUUAUUAUUUAUUUAUUAAGAUUUAUUUUUAAUUUUUUUAUGUUGUUUGUUUCUUUGUUGUUUUUUUUGUUUUUUUUACAAGGCCAAACAGAAUAAUAUCUGAUUACUUAAGCGAAAAAAAUUAGGGUAGGAAGUUCGGCUUCAAAUCUUUUCGUUUUGUUUUUUUAGGCGAAUUUUUUUAUGGUAGGUAGGCAUUGUAUUAAAAAAAUAAUAAAACUGAAAUAGUUUAUAAAUAUGUACCAAGAUAUUUUCAACCAUAUGGGUAAUAAAGAUGUAUCUAUGUGAUGUAAAGAAAACUAAUUAAACACCAUCAAAAUCAAUGUUUUUUAUAUCUAUAUGACAUUGUCUACUUUGACAUCCAACAAUAAAAUAAAGUUCAAACAAAUUAACAUUACAAUACACACAAAGAAAACAUAUUAUAUUUCCACUUAUUAUUCUGUUUGGCCCAAUAAAAAAAUAAAAAUUCUUCUGUUUUUGCUGGAUGUCAUUAAAAAUUCAAUCAUC